UGGCCAAUGACUGAGGAUCGAUGACUCCCAGUCAGUCCGCCUCAUAAAACAUAGGAUUUAUGUUGUUGCAUCUGCCAGUGUCCUUUGUCGAGAGUUACAUAUCGAACAAGCAUCGGGUCUGCCUGGGCGGGGCAAGGUGAGGAGGAACGGUGCGGAUGAGCGGAGGGUUGUGGGAUCGUUUCUUCGUAUUGUUUAUGGGUUUUUUUAUUUGGUUUCUUCAUUGUUGGAUCCUGGUUAACCUGGAUAGGAGGGUUGGAUUGUGUACUUCGGAAGGGUUCUGGGGAGGAAUGCGAUGGGCAGGAUGGGGCUGAUGGUGCUACUGGACAAAAUCACCGAGUAAUUUCAGGCAGUAUAUUUGUUGUUCUCCUGUUCUUUUCGCGGCUUUUGGAGGUGCUAUACGUUGUUUUCAUCGUUGGGUUUCUCUUGCUGCAGACACACACACCCCUUUGCGGCUCUUUUUAUUCUAUAAAUUACUCGCUGUUAAGGAGCGAUGCAAAAACCUCUGUACUGUCUGGUAUGUGCGUAUUCUGGUUUAUCUAAAAGAAAGAAAUUCGUUUCUUUGACUGCGCACAUAUAUGGGGCUCCCCUACGGAUAUCAAGGUAAGUUAACUGACUGACAUGG
rnacentral:sRNA from 1 species